UUCAUUAAUGCUAUGAUUCAGUGACCAAAAGUCACAUUCUAAGAAUUUAAAGAAGACAGUAGGAGACAGUUUACAAAGCAGUUAGCAAUUAUACUAUAUUUUUCCACCUGAUCUGCAAUGCAGUUAUAUAGAGUGAGUAAACUUCAUUCCUGAAUAUGCUGUGCCUCCAUAGUGUUCAAGACAUGACUUCUGCAAGCAGUCUGCCAGAAGACUUUGAAGAAUUUUAUGCAAACUUCCUUGAGUGUGUCACCGUACACAAGGGUCUUCCAAGGAAAAAAUUGUCAGAGGAGACUCUCUCCUUCCAUUAAUGGAUAUUUCAAAUUUGGAAAGAAUUCAAGAGACUGCAGUAAGGU